rnacentral:tRNA from 1 species
GCCCAAAUCGUAUAACGGCUAGUACACAACCCUGUCGCGGUUGAGACCCGGGUUCAAUUCCCGGUUUGGGCG